rnacentral:rRNA from 1 species
GACGAACGCUGGCGGCGUGCUUAACACAUGCAAGUCGAACGGAAAGGCCCUGCUUUUGUGGGGUGCUCGAGUGGCGAACGGGUGAGUAAGACGUGAGUAACCUGCCCUUCAUUUUGGUGUAACUUCAGGUAACUGGGGCUAAUAUCGGAUAGGAUCUGCUGCUGCAUGGUGGGGGUUGGAAAGUUUCGGCGGUUGUGGAUGGACGCGCGGCUUAUGAGCUUGUUGGUGGGGGAGUCGCUUACCAAGGCUUUGACGGGUAGCCGGCCGGAGAGGGUGACCGGCGACAAUGGGACUGCGAGAGGGCGCAGACGCGUACGGUAGGCAGCAGUGGGGAACAUUGCACAGCGGGCCGACGUCGGUGGAGGCAGCGCCCCGUGCGUGAUGACCGUCUUUUGGGAGUAAACCGCUUCAGCCUGUGACGAAGCGGGAGUGACGGUAAUGGGAAAAGAAGCACCGGCUAACUACGUG